GGGAUUGUGGCUCAGUGGCAGAGCACUCACCUAGCAUGCGUGGGGACCUGGGUUCAAUCCUCAGCACCA
rfam:Ictidomys tridecemlineatus contig065562, whole genome shotgun sequence.